GUACUACCUGGAGAGGUAGGGUUCACACAAACUUCACUUCAGGAAAGCUUUUGUUUUGUUUUGUUUUUUUACAGGAAAGCAUUAGGAUUUGAAAUGAAUGUCCCCAAAGAACAUUUGUCAAAGAAUGUGAAGUGUUUUUAUAUAUUUGAAAGCAGAAUAGAUCAAAGCUGCUGGGGAAUCGAAGAGAGGCCUUUUUGCUUCUCCAUGUCCUGGUCUCACUUCUAA
rnacentral:lncRNA from 1 species